rnacentral:rRNA from 7 species
GUGACUGCGGAGGAUCAUUA